UACGUAGGGUGCAAGCGUUAAUCGGAAUUACUGGGCGUAAAGCGUGCGCAGGCGGCUAUGCAAGACAGAUGUGAAAUCCCCGGGCUCAACCUGGGAACUGCAUUUGUGACUGCAUGGCUAGAGUGCGGCAGAGGGGGAUGGAAUUCCGCGUGUAGCAGUGAAAUGCGUAGAUAUGCGGAGGAACACCGAUGGCGAAGGCAAUCCCCUGGGCCUGCACUGACGCCCAUGCACGAAAGCGUGGGGAGCAAACAGG
rnacentral:rRNA from 1 species